rnacentral:rRNA from 1 species
UACGGAGGGUGCGAGCGUUGUCCGGAAUCACUGGUCGUAAAGGGCGCGUAGGCGGCCUGAUAAGUAGGGGGUGAAAUCUUGCGGCUUAACCGCAAGGCUGCCUUCUAAACUGUCAGGCUAGAGCACGGUAGAGGCAGGUGGAAUUCCCGGUGUAGCGGUGGAAUGCGUAGAGAUCGGGAAGAACAUCAGUGGCGAAGGCGGCCUGCUGGGCUGUUGCUGACGCUGAGGCGCGACAGCGUGGGGAGCAAACAGG